UUCAUGAUGUUUGUGGGUAACAUCCCUGAAAAUCCUCACGAGACAACACUCGUCCACUAGGAUAACCUAGGGGUUUAACGGCUUAUUGUACGUGCUAAGUGCAAUCGUGAUUCCUACGAAAGUGAGUACAUAUCUUAGUUUUAUGUCUUUAGCUUCAAUAAAAAGUCAAAGGUUAAACUACAUCUUUUGUACUCUCAUUUUAUUAUUUGCUCGUUAAUUGCUAGAGACUAGCAAUAAGCUAGUUGG
rnacentral:lncRNA from 1 species